rnacentral:misc_RNA from 1 species
GAUGAAGAACGCAGUGAAAUGCGAUAAGUAAUGCGAAUUGCAGAAUUCAGUGAAUCAUCGAAUCUUUGAACGCACCUUGCGCCCUUUGGCCAUUCCGAAGGGCAUGCCUGUUUGAGUAUCAUGAACACCUCAACUCUCAUGGCUUGCCAUGAUGAGCUUGGACUUUGGGGGUCUUGCUGGCCUGUGGUCAGCUCCUCUCAAAUGAAUUAGCUUUCCAGUGUUUGGUUGGCAUCACAGGUGUGAUAACUAUCUACGCUUGUGGUUUCCACCAGGUAACCUUCAGUAACAUGGGGGUUUGCUGGAGCUCAUAAAUGUCUCUCCUCAGUGGGGACAGCUCUUUGAACGUUUGAUCUCAAAUCAGGUAGGACUACCCGCUGAACUUAAGCAUAUCAAUAAGCGGAGGA